rnacentral:rRNA from 1 species
GACAGAGGGUGCAAACGUUGUUCGGAAUUACUGGGCGUAAAGGGCGCGUAGGCGGUCAGCACAAGUCAGUUGUGAAAUCUCCGGGCUUAACUCGGAAAGGUCAACUGAUACUGUGCGACUAGAGUGCAGAAGGGGGCAACUGGAAUUCUCGGUGUAGCGGUGAAAUGCGUAGAUAUCGAGAGGAACACCUGCGGCGAAGGCGGGUUGCUGGGCUGACACUGACGCUGAUGCGCGAAAGCCAGGGGAGCGAACGGG